UACACCUCUCAGGCAGUUACAGCUUCAAUGAUUUCACCACGUCCUCAUGCAGCAAUUCCCACAAACUGCUCAAGACUGGAAAUUACACCUGACAGCCUGAUUGUUAUGGAUAGAUGGAGCCAAAAUGCUAGUGAAAAAAAGACGAAUCGAUGCUGUUGGCUCUCCAGAAAGGGGAUUCAGGCUACCCUUUAAGGAAAUGUUUCAUCAUUUCUAUACUACAGCCGAAUGGUCCUGGACCAUUUGAAGUCACAUGUUUUGCCCCGAGC